rnacentral:rRNA from 1 species
CCUACGGGAGGCAGCAGUGGGGAAUAUUGGACAAUGGGGGGAACCCUGAUCCAGCGACGCCGCGUGAGUGAAGAAGUAUUUCGGUAUGUAAAGCUCUAUCAGCAGGGAAGAAAGAAAUGACGGUACCUGACUAAGAAGCCCCGGCUAACUACGUGCCAGCAGCCGCGGUAAUACGGAGGGGCCAAGCGUUAUCCGGAUUUACUGGGUGUAAAGGGAGCGUAGACGGCGAUGCAAGUCUGAAGUGAAAGGCGGGGGCCCAACCCCCGGACUGCUUUGGAAACUGUAUGGAUGGAGGGCAGGAGAGGUUGGUGGAAUGCCUAGUGUAGCGGUGAAAUGCGUAGAUAUUAGGAGGAACACCAGUGGCGAAGGCGGGUUACCGGACUGUAACUGACGUUGAGGCUCGAAAGCGUGGGGAGCAAACAGGAUUAGAUACCCCAGUAGUC